rnacentral:lncRNA from 13 species
AAUCCAUUAUCAUAUUCAACUGCAGUUUUAUAUUUUAUUUUUAUUUACUGCAAGUCUCAUAGCACAAUGUUUGGCAUGUAGAAAACCAAAAAUAAAAUGAUUGCUGAAAGAAAUAAUUGAAAGAAUAGUGAACAACAUGAAACAUUGAAAUACCGCAUUUCCAUUGGCCUCACUUUUUCCAAUUUAACCUGAUUUUUAUUUCAAACACACAAUUUGAUUUUCCCUUAUUUUUCUCUCUACAUGUUGCCCUCUUCCAUAAUAUUCUAGAACUACUAUUUCUUGUCAAUUGAUGUAUCUCAUUACUAAAAUGUGUCAUGCUUUCAGGUUAAACAAUGAUGUAUACAGACAUUUCAAAAUUCCUAAUCCCUGUAUCCAAAUUGGAAUGACCAAUCCCAAUUGAUAUGGUUUGGAUUUGUGUCCCUACCUAAAUCUCAUGGUGAAUUGGAAUCCCUGGUGUUGGAGGAGGAGCCUGGUAGGAGGUGAUUGGACCAUGGGGGCAGAUUUCUCCUUGCUGUUCUCAUGGUAGUGAGUGAAUUCUCAUGAGAUCUGAUUGUCUAAAAGUGUGUAGCAUCUCCCAUCCCUCUCUCCUCCUGCUCUGGCCAUGUAAGAUAUGCCUUCUUCCUCUUGUCCUUCUGCCAUGAUUGUAGGUUUCCUGAGGCCUUCCCAGCAUUGCUUCCUGUACAGCCUGUGUAACUCUCCUAUAAGUGUGUGGGCUUUGGUGGCAAGGAGGUGUGCUGGUACAUGGAGAGGACCUCUGCUCCCUGCACUCUUGGGAUGGAUCGAUGACACCAGCACCGACACAACAGCAGUUUGCAAAGAAGCAUGUGAGGCCUCAAAGGCUGUCAGAUUGUCUUCCUUCAUGUCUGUUGGAUGUGGCACGGUUUCUCACGUGGAAUGGCCCGGCUUCUCAAAAUAGAAGGACUCCCAAAUGUCACCUUCCUAUCUCUUUCAGGAACUUGGGCUGCGAGUCCCUGACUCUUCAGAAAAAUUAUCUGAUAGAAACAGCAAACCUGUAUAGUCAUUUAAAUUUUACAGUGUGAUUCACAGAUGCUAAUCUCAG